AUGAGGCCAUGAUUGGAUUUUGAAUUAGAGGAAACUUCACGGUGGGACAAAUAAUUGGAGAAUAUAGUCAAAAGGACAUGACAAGGAAGCUUCGUUGUUUCUUGGCCUAAUUAAUUAUGAGGUUGAAACCAUGGAGGGCUCAAAAAUCUAAGAGAGAUGGAGAGAGAAUGGGGGCAUGGAAUCUGAAUUGAGGGGCCUAUACACAUUUUUUUCGGAACCAUGGACCACACAUUUCUCUCUAUAAGAAGCCCUCUUGAGCUCCAUUUAUAACACUGCUUCAAGUGGUUUCAACUUUCAACACACACACACAGAGACAUACAUAUCUGUCUCUCUACACUACAAAGUGUAAGCUUGCAUAGACACAAAGAUGAGCAGAGAUUCCACGAGGGCUUCAAAGAAGAAGGUUUCAUGCAGAAGGCUUGGAGGGUAUCUCAAAGAGCAAAAAGGAAGACUAUACAUAAUCAGAAGAUGUGUAGUCAUGCUACUCUGCUGGCAUGACUAGAUACAAUCAUUCUCAAAAGUUUAACGUUUUUCUUUGCUCAUACCAUGGAUCAGCACACACCAGAUUCCUCAAAGCCAUGGUCAAGGAUCAAAGUUCAAGCAUGCAGACAAAGAAUAUAUAUAUAUAUAUAUAUGUUUUGCUAGCUAGCUCUUUAUUAUUAAUUCCCUAUGUAAAUAGCAGAGAAAGUAACGUUCCUUCAUAUAAAAGAUGUAUGUUCUCUACGUGCAAAGAGGCUAAUUAAUAUGGCAAUGAAGUAAAAGUUUCAGUUUCCAUUCUGCACUUGGAGUAGUACUACUUGGAUUUGUUUGUUUUUAAUGAAGAACUUGUGUAGUUUGGAAGAGUUAAUGAUUAUAUAUAAUUGGCAUAUUUUGU